CGGGAGGCAGCAGUUAGGAAUCUUCCGCAAUGGACGAAAGUCUGACGGAGCGACGCCACGUGGUGGAUGAAGUCCUUAGGGACGUAAACACCUUUUAUGAGGGAGGAAGUUUAUUGACGUUACCUCAUGAAUAAGGGGCUCCCAAUUCCGUGCCAGCAGGAGCGGUAAUACAGAAGCCCCAAGCGUUACCCGGAUUCACUGGGCGUAAAGGGUGCGUAGGCGGAUAUAUUAGUCGGGUGUAAAAUCUUGGGGCUCAACCUCAAGCUCGCAUCCGAAACGGUAUAUCUAGAAGACGUGAGAGGUGAACAGAACUCUCGGUGUAGGGGUGAGAUCCGUUGAUAUCGAGGGGAAUACCAAAUGCGAAGGCAGUUCACUGGCGCGUUCUUGACGCUGAGGCACGAAAGCGUGGGUAGCGAACGGGAUUAGAUACCCGGGUAGUCCACACCCUAAAC
rnacentral:rRNA from 1 species